AAAAAGAAAAUGAAUCUCAUGCCAUAUAUAUAUAAUGAUCAUAUAUAUAAUCAAAUAUAUAGUAACACACAACAUCCUAGUUGCUUUGAUGACAUGCUUGGAUGCACUUGCCGCUUCUUAAUCCAACAGGCCGAUCAUGAUUUCUGCAACGAUUUUCAAAUAUCUGCUUUCAUAGAAAACAUAGAAUGAUAUAUAGAGACCAAGAAAUGGCUACAAAAAUAAAAAUAUACCACUAAGGUAAAGAAAGGGAGGCGAAAAUUGUUGAGAUGGUUUGGGAGCAUCGAGUAAGAAUAUUUACCUUAUAUAGGGGAGAAGGUGUAAGUUGCUAGAGGGAACAUCACAUAAAAUCACUUUUUUUUUUAAUUGGAUCAGAUUGCUAAACAAUUAGGGUUUGCCUCCCGUUAGAAACUCUGUGUUUUUUC
rnacentral:lncRNA from 1 species